UCAGUCGACUCCUACGGGGAGGCAGCAGUGGGGAAUAUUGCACAAUGGGCGCAAGCCUGAUGCAGCCAUGCCGCGUGUAUGAAGAAGGCCUUCGGGUUGUAAAGUACUUUCAGCAGUGAGGAAGGUGGAUAUGUUAAUAGCAUAUUCAUUUGACGUUAGCUGCAGAAGAAAGCACCGGCUAACUCCGUGCCAGCAGCCGCGGUAAUACGGAGGGUGCGAGCGUUAAUCGGAAUUACUGGGCGUAAAGCGCAUGCAGGUGGUUUGUUAAGUCAGAUGUGAAAGCCCGGGGCUCAACCUCGGAAUUGCAUUUGAAACUGGCAAACUAGAGUACUGUAGAGGGGGGUAGGAAUUUCAGGUGUAGCGGUGAAAUGCGUAGAGAUCUGAAGGAAUACCGGUGGCGAAGGCGGCCCCCUCGGACAGAUACUGACACUCAGAUGCGAAAGCGUGGGGAGCAAACAGGAUUAGAUACCCUGGUAG
rnacentral:rRNA from 1 species